GAUGAAGAACGCAGCGAAAUGCGAUAAGUAAUGUGAAUUGCAGAAUUCAGUGAAUCAUCGAAUCUUUGAACGCACAUUGCGCCCGCCAGUAUUCUGGCGGGCAUGCCUGUUCGAGCGUCAUUUCAACCAUCAAGCCCCCCGGCUUGUGUUGGGGACCUGCGGCUGCCGCAGGCCCUGAAAAGCAGUGGCGGGCUCGCCGUCACACCGAGCGUAGUAGCAUACAUCUCGCUCUGGGCGUGCUGCGGGUUCCGGCCGUUAAACCACCUUCAUAACCCAAGGUUGACCUCGGAUCAGGUAGGAAGACCCGCUGAACUUAAGCAUAUCAAUAAGCGGAGGA
rnacentral:misc_RNA from 1 species